rnacentral:lncRNA from 1 species
GUCUGAUUUUUCCUCUGACUUGUCUGGAAUGAAAAGCAUGUGAUGACUGCCAGAACGUUCUCCCUUCCUGAGAGGAGAAAUGAUCCCUCCUUCAUACGUGCAGCAGCCUCAGGGGAUCCUACUGAAGCCACUGUGAUGUAUUCCUUUUUCCUGCCCUUGCAAAGAACCAAGAGCGAGC